UACGGAGGGUGCAAGCGUUAUCCGGAUUUAUUGGGUUUAAAGGGUCCGUAGGCGGACAAUUAAGUCAGUGGUGAAAGCCCACAGCUCAACUGUGGAACUGCCAUUGAUACUGAUUGUCUUGAGUACGUUUGAUGUUGGCGGAAUAUGUCAUGUAGCGGUGAAAUGCUUAGAUAUGACAUAGAACACCGAUUGCGAAGGCAGCCAACAAAGCCGUAACUGACGCUGAGGGACGAAAGCGUGGGGAGCGAACAGG
rnacentral:rRNA from 1 species